rnacentral:misc_RNA from 1 species
GAAAUGCGAGAAGUAGUGUGAAUUGCAGAAUUCAGUGAAUCAUCGAAUCUUUGAACGCACAUUGCGCCCCUUGGUAUUCCAUGGGGCAUGCCUGUUCGAGCGUCAUUUGUACCCUCAAGCUCUGCUUGGUGUUGGGUGUUUGUCCCGUCUCCGCGCGUGGACUCGCCCCAAAGUGAUUGGCAGCCGGCGUACUGGUCCCGGAGCGCAGCACAUGUCGCGCAAACGAGUACCUUGGUACGGCGGCGUCCAUAAGCCCCUCUCUCACGCUCUUGACCUCGGAUCAGGUAGGGAUACCCGCUGAACUUAAGC